GUUAAAAAUCAGUCCCCAAAUCAUUUAACCACCGCUGCAUUAUAGGUACAUAAUUUUAGGUAGGCAUACACGCAAUAAUAACUCUCAAAUUGUUUUAUAAUAUGUACAUGUGCAUUUGUUUUUAAGUGAACCGUUAUCGGUCAAAUUCCGGUCCGGAUAAAAAACGUAAUUUGACCGUCCAAUAAAAUUAUUGCUCCUUUAAAUAAUUCUGGUCUGUAAUUUACCUAUGUAAUAUUAUACUGCAUUGUUAAUUAUGAAUUUAUCGUUAUAUAAUUACACCAGUAUACAAACUGUAUACACACGAUUAAUGAGAUGUUAUCUCGAUUACUUAGUAAUCAAUCGAUUUAAAUAAUUAUUUAAAAAUUGCAAUUCUAUAAUAGGUAAAAAAUAAAAAAAUUUCAGUCAAUUCUAAUGAGAACACUAAAAUAACAAAACAUGUAGCAUAUGAUGUUAAAGUGCCUUACUAUAAAAAAUCAUUUAGUCGAAAAUUCGUGAACUACCUUGCUCCAAAAUAUUAUAACUCUUUACCAUUAAUA